UGAAAAGUGCCUGGGAUGUGGUCCUGCUC
rnacentral:piRNA from 1 species